rnacentral:rRNA from 1 species
GUACCUACGGGAGGCAGCAGUGGGGAAUAUUGCACAAUGGGGGAAACCCUGAUGCAGCAACGCCGCGUGAGUGAAGAAGGUUUUCGGAUUGUAAAGCUCUGUUAGCAGGGGAGAGGAAGGACGGUACCUGCAGAAGAAGCCCCGGCUAACUACGUGCCAGCAGCCGCGGUAAUACGUAGGGGGCAAGCGUUAUCCGGAAUUACUGGGUGUAAGGGAGCGUAGACGGGGAUGCAAGUCUGGAGUGAAAGGCGGGGGCCCAACCCCCGGACUGCUCUG